CCAAUUUUUGUGAUGCUUGAUUCAGCUUGAAGGCUUGAACUGAGUGAGUCUGAGUGUCUAUAUAUUUAUCAGUAGUACUGGAGUAACUGAUGGAUCAGUGAUACAAUCAUUGAUACAAGUUAUGACUGAUGAGAAUUACCAGCUCACUGGACCCUGACUCUAAGAAUCUGAAGAGUUAUUACGUGUGUAUCCUUCAUAUAUAAAUUAUUUUGAAGUCACUAAGGAGGCUCUCAGUUCCUGUGAUCG